UUUCAUGAUGAAGAAGAAAAAGAGGAUUCUGAUGAUGAUGAUGGCAAUACUGAGA
rnacentral:snoRNA from 1 species